UACGAAGGGGGCUAGCGUUGUUCGGAAUUACUGGGCGUAAAGCGAACGUAGGCGGUGUUCCAUGUCAGAGGUGAAAGCCUGGGGCUCAACUCCAGAAUUGCCUUUGAAACGGGGACGCUUGAGUCCGAGAGAGGGUGGCGGAAUUCCUAGUGUAGAGGUGAAAUUCGUAGAUAUUAGGAAGAACACCAGUGGCGAAGGCGGCCCCCUGGCUCGGUACUGACGCUCAGGUUCGAAAGCGUGGGGAGCAAACAGG
rnacentral:rRNA from 1 species